rnacentral:rRNA from 1 species
AGUGAACGCUGGCGGUAGGCCUAACACAUGCAAGUCGAACGGCAGCACAGUAAGAGCUUGCUCUUACGGGUGGCGAGUGGCGGACGGGUGAGGACUACAUCGGAAUCUACUUUUUCGUGGGGGAUAACGUAGGGAAACUUACGCUAAUACCGCAUACGACCUACGGGUGAAAGCAGGGGAUCUUCGGACCUUGCGCGAUUGAAUGAGCCGAUGUCGGAUUAGCUAGUUGGCGGGGUAAAGGCCCACCAAGGCGACGCUCCGUAGCUGGUCUGAGAGGAUGAUCGAGACAACGGGAACUGAGACUGGGUCCAGACUCCUAAGGAAGGAAGCAGGGGGGAAUAUUGGGCAAUGGAGCCAAGCCUGGUCCAGCCAUACCGCGUGGGUGAAGAAGGCCUUCGGGUUGUAAAGCCCUUUUGUUGGGAAAGAAAAGCAGCAGAUUAAUACCCCGCUGUUCUGACGGUACCCAAAGAAUAAGCACCGGCUAACUUCGUG